CUCUUUCUGAAAUGGUAUCAUCAUGCUAAAUUGGGAUUUCCUCUUCUGAAAUGGCAUCAUCAUGCUAAUUGUUAACUCCCAGCAUCUAUGUCAUAGAUUCCAUAUGAUACAUCACCUUCUCCCUUUGCUGAUUUACUGGCCUUGCUAAUGUGUUGCAUCAUGUUCCUAUUGUCUAUCUCUAUUACAUCUGUUACAUUUUAGUGGUAGGUCGGGUCCAUGUACCAGCAAUGCAUUGAGAAAAAGGAUGAACGGACAAUUUUUUAGUUCCUCUCAGCUUGUUUGAAAAGUUGAAACAAGACGUAGAGAAGGAAGUGAGUUUCAUUCAAGAAAGUAUGCAAACUCCAGAUAAUACAAAGAUGUUGAGGCAAUAGCUCAUGCAACAAAUGAACAUCCUUUACACUGCUUGCAGAACACACAAAAGAACUCUUGCAAAGAGAUAAUACUAUUGACAUGCCUAUCGUAUCUCAAAGGCAUCGAAAUGCUGCUGCUGUUUCUGCAUCCAUGCUUCACACGCUUCAUGUCAUCAAAUUGGGUUCUAGUGCACGGAGAUGCCCAUAUAAUUCUUUUCUGGAUCUGCUCUCAGUAGAGUAAUUCAAGUAAUUGGAUUUUUCAAUACUAAAUCUGACUCCACAAUUGCAG